CAUGCAAGUCGAACGCGUCUUGGGGGGCAACUCCUGAGAUGAGUGGCGAACGGGUGAGUAACACGUGAGUAAUCUACCCUCGAGUGAGGAAUAACCCCGCGAAAGCGGAGCUAAUACUGCAUAAUACUCUGGAGCGUAAGCUUUCAGAGUCAAAGCUUUCCGAGCAAUCGGACAGCGCUUGAGGAUGAGCUUGCGGCCUAUUAGCUUGUUGGUGAGGUAACGGCUCACCAAGGCAAAGAUGGGUAGCCGGCCUGAGAGGGUGUACGGCCACACUGGGACUGGGACACGGCCCAGACUCCUACGGGAGGCAGCAGUGGGGAAUCUUGCGCAAUGGGCGAAAGCCUGACGCAGCGACGCCGCGUGGAGGAUGAAGGCCUUCGGGUUGUAAACUCCUGUCAGAGGAGAAGAAUCUCCGAGCAAUCGGAG
rnacentral:rRNA from 1 species